rnacentral:lncRNA from 1 species
AUCAGUAUGCUAAAAUAGGUGAUUAGCUAAAAGCCUAAAAUGAUCAAUCACAACAAUACAAUCAUGCAUAGUGCGACCAAAACAGGGGAGGCUUUUAGCAUGAUCAAUAUGACAUAAUGACAACGAAGAAGAUCAAAACAGAGGAGGCUAGAGGCACGAUGGAUGGAGAUCUAACCUUGUUGGCUCCGGUAAGGUGUUGAAGCCCAGCUGCCCAGCAUGGUGAUGGCGGUCGGUGGAUGGAACACGGACCAGGGAGGGCCAAGGGCUCUUCAACCUCUUCGACUUUGAGACUUCAAUGGGGAAAUUGGGAAAGUCAGGAGAUAGAAGAGUGAAGAGAAGAGGAAGAGCCAAAGAGGAUGGGUUUAAGGGUUUAAUGGGAUUAAAAGGAUAGAGGUCUGACCUUGGCUCUGGCAAGGUGUUGAAGCGCAGCUCCCAGCACGGCAAUACGGCAGCACGAUGUUGAAGCCUCCGCUCUCUGGCAAUAAAGUUCAAAACCCUAAAGAGGAAAAGAAAAGAUUAAGGAAUACUAAGACUUGAGAUCUAGAGGAAGGGGAUUUGGAGGAUCCUUACCCAAAACGAUGUACGAUGAUGGCCGAAGACAGGAAGACAAUGUCAGUGAUGGUCGAUGACAAUGAGAGAAGAUGGAGGAUCGAUGUCACGGAUCAAGGACAGAACACGCCAAAAGGGGAAGACGGAAGAUCUGUCGACAAAUAGGGGAAGACGAUGAUGGCGGUCGGUGGAUAGAACAUGGACCAGGGAUGGAUGAUCGACUUUGACAGAUGGGGAAGAAUUGAAGAUGGAGAAGAGAAGAGGAAGAGCGGAAGUGAGAAGUCUGA